AGAGUUUGAUCAUGGCUCAGAACGAACGCUGGCGGCAGGCCUUAUACAUGCAAGUCGAGCGCAUCCUUCGGGAUGAGCGGCGGACGGGUGAGUAACGCGUGGGAAUGUGCCCUUCUCUACGGAAUAGCCACUGGAAACGGUGAGUAAUACCGUAUACGCCCUUAGGGGGAAAGAUUUAUCGGAGAAGGAUCAGCCCGCGUUAGAUUAGGUAGUUGGUGGGGUAACGGCCUACCGAGCCUACGAUCUAUAGCUGGUUUUAGAGGAUGGUCAGCCACACUGGGACUGAGACACGGCCCAGACUCCUACGGGAGGCAGCAGUAGGGAAUCUUGGACAAUGGGGGAAACCCUGAUCCAGCCAUGCCGCGUGAGUGAAGAAGGCCUUAGGGUCGUAAAGCUCUUUCGCCUGUGAUGAUAAUGACA
rnacentral:rRNA from 1 species